UUUAUGGAGAGUUUGAUCCUGGCUCAGGAUGAACGCUGGCGGCGUGCCUAAUACAUGCAAGUCGAGCGAACGGACGAGAAGCUUGCUUCUCUGAUGUUAGCGGCGGACGGGUGAGUAACACGUGGAUAACCUACCUAUAAGACUGGGAUAACUUCGGGAAACCGGAGCUAAUACCGGAUAAUAUUUUGAACCGCAUA
rnacentral:rRNA from 1 species